AUUGAACGCUGGCGGCAGGCCUAACACAUGCAAGUCGAGCGAGCGGCGGACGGGUGAGUAAUGUCUGGGAAACUGCCUGAUGGAGGGGGAUAACUACUGGAAACGGUAGCUAAUACCGCAUACCAUCAGAUGUGCCCAGAUGGGAUUAGCUAGUAGGUGGGGUAACGGGUCACCUAGGCGACGGUCCCUAGCUUGUCUGAGAGGAUGACCAGCCAAACUGGAACUGAGACACGGUAAAUACUCCUACGGGAGGCAGCAGUGGGGAAUAUUGCACAAUGGGCGCAAGCCUGAUGCAGCCAUGCCGCGUGUAUGAAGAAGGCCGUCGGGUUGUAAAGUACUUUCAGCGGGGAGGCGUUACCCGCAGAAGAAGCACCGGCUAACUCCGUGCCAGCCGCCGCGGUAAUUC
rnacentral:rRNA from 1 species